CCUACGGGUGGCAGCAGUGAGGAAUAUUGGUCAAUGGACGAGAGUCUGAACCAGCCAAGUAGCGUGAAGGAUGACUGCCCUACGGGUUGUAAACUUCUUUUAUAUGGGAAUAAAAUGUUCCACGUGUGGGAUUUUGUAUGUACCCUAUGAAUAAGGAUCGGCUAACUCCGUGCCAUCAGCCGCGGUAAUACGGAGGAUCCGAGCGUUCUCCGGAUUUAUGUGGUUUAAAGGGGGCGUAGGUGGAUUGUUAAGUCAGUUGUGAAAGUUUGCGGCUCAACCGGAAAAUUGCAGUUGAAACUGGAAGUCUUGAGUGCAGUAGAGGUGGGCGGAAUUCGUGGUGUAGCGGUGAAAUGCUUAGAGAUCACGAAGAACUCCGAUUGCGAAGGCAGCUCGCUGGACUGCAACUGACACUGAGGCUCGAAAGUGUGGGUAUCAAACAGGAUUAGAUACCCUGGUAGUC
rnacentral:rRNA from 1 species